AGAGUUUGAUCAUGGCUCAGGAUGAACGCUGGCGGCGUGCCUAAUACAUGCAAGUCGAACGAGUUCUCGUUGAUGAUCGGUGCUUGCACCGAGAUUCAACAUGGAACGAGUGGCGGACGGGUGAGUAACACGUGGGUAACCUGCCCUUAAGUGGGGGAUAACAUUUGGAAACAGAUGCUAAUACCGCAUAGAUCCAAGAACCGCAUGGUUCUUGGCUGAAAGAUGGCGUAAGCUAUCGCUUUUGGAUGGACCCGCGGCGUAUUAGCUAGUUGGUGAGGUAACGGCUCACCAAGGCGAUGAUACGUAGCCGAACUGAGAGGUUGAUCGGCCACAUUGGGACUGAGACACGGCCCAAACUCCUACGGGAGGCAGCAGUAGGGAAUCUUCCACAAUGGACGCAAGUCUGAUGGAGCAACGCCGCGUGAGUGAAGAAGGCUUUCGGGUCGUAAAACUCUGUUGUUGGAGAAGAAUGGUCGGCAGAGUAACUGUUGUCGGCGUGACGGUAUCCAACCAGAAAGCCACGGCUAACUACGUGCCAGCAGCCGCGGUAAUACGUAGGUGGCAAGCGUUAUCCGGAUUUAUUGGGCGUAAAGCGAGCGCAGGCGGUUUUUUAAGUCUGAUGUGAAAGCCCUCGGCUUAACCGAGGAAGCGCAUCGGAAACUGGGAAACUUGAGUGCAGAAGAGGACAGUGGAACUCCAUGUGUAGCGGUGAAAUGCGUAGAUAUAUGGAAGAACACCAGUGGCGAAGGCGGCUGUCUGGUCUGUAACUGACGCUGAGGCUCGAAAGCAUGGGGUAGCGAACAGGAUUAGAUACCCUGGUAGUCCAUGCCGUAAACGAUGAAUGCUAGGUGUUGGGAGGGUUUCCGCCCUUCAGUGCCGCAGCUAACGCAUUAAGCAUUCCGCCUGGGGAGUACGACCGCAAGGUUGAAACUCAAAGGAAUUGACGGGGGCCCGCACAAGCGGUGGAGCAUGUGGUUUAAUUCGAAGCAACGCGAAGAACCUUACCAGGUCUUGACAUCUUUUGAUCACCUGAGAGAUCAGGUUUCCCCUUCGGGGGCAAAAUGACAGGUGGUGCAUGGUUGUCGUCAGCUCGUGUCGUGAGAUGUUGGGUUAAGUCCCGCAACGAGCGCAACCCUUAUGACUAGUUGCCAGCAUUUAGUUGGGCACUCUAGUAAGACUGCCGGUGACAAACCGGAGGAAGGUGGGGAUGACGUCAAAUCAUCAUGCCCCUUAUGACCUGGGCUACACACGUGCUACAAUGGAUGGUACAACGAGUUGCGAGACCGCGAGGUCAAGCUAAUCUCUUAAAGCCAUUCUCAGUUCGGACUGUAGGCUGCAACUCGCCUACACGAAGUCGGAAUCGCUAGUAAUCGCGGAUCAGCACGCCGCGGUGAAUACGUUCCCGGGCCUUGUACACACCGCCCGUCACACCAUGAGAGUUUGUAACACCCGAAGCCGGUGGCGUAACCCUUUUAGGGAGCGAGCCGUCUAAGGUGGGACAAAUGAUUAGGGUGAAGUCGUAACAAGGUAGCCGUAGGAGAACCUGCGGUUGGAUCACCUCCUU
rnacentral:rRNA from 1 species